rnacentral:rRNA from 1 species
UAUUAUUGAUGUUCCUAAAAGUAGACUCUUAGGUAGUAAACAGAUAUAGGCUCGAAACUUAAAGGAUUUGGCGGUACCUUAGCCCAGUUAGAGGAACCUGCCCCAUAAUCGAUAAUCCCCGUAGUAUCUUACUUUACCUUGUUAAUUUCAGCUUGUAUACCGCCAUUUUGUUAGGUGAAUUUUAUAGAAAUAUGCCGAGAUAGGAAGUAUCCUAGUAAGUUAGGCCAUGGUGCAGCCUAUGGUAAAGGGCGAGGUGGGUUACAAUUACGUUAGCGUAAUACGGAUAAUUUGCUUGAAACAGAAAUUUGAAGGUGGAUUUAAAUGUAAGGCUAUUUUAGCAAGUUAGCUUGAUAAGUGCUCUUAGGUAUGCA